GCAGCGCUGGCUCCUGGUCUGUGGCCAGCCCGCCUCGCUUCCUGCACUUGGGCCUGGGCCUCACCCUGAGGGUGGGGUGUCCUGCCAGCACAACUGGAGUUUAUUUCUUCUGUCUGCGCUGAAGAAGCUGAACUGAUGCGGACCCUGGAUUUGGCCCAAAUGCAGUUUCGGGCUACAAGCGUCCGCCAAGUCCUUCUAGGCUGUGUGAGCGACUGUCCCUGAACCCAGACGGGAAGGAGCUAUUUGGGAAUUGAUCUGAGCCCCCAAAUGCUAGCCGAUCAGUAUCUCCCCAGGAAAACUCAGCAAUGACAGCUUGAGGAAGGGCCAAGACCAUGUCGGCCCAGCACUCAGGGCUGAACUUGGGGUAAUAUUUAGAACAUCCAGAGGCAUGGACAGCCGCCAUGUCCCAAGGCAAUGCUCCAAAAACACCCUUUCUCACAACUGGAUGUUUUCAUGCUUGCACAAGGGACAGCGCAUGAUUACAAUCAAGGGAACUCUGGAAGGUGUGAGUUGACUCAUGGAGUAGAAAGCCAGAACUUCCACCCUGGACGUCGGGGCCGGAGACUCCUCCACACUGGACGUUGGGGGCCAGAGACUUCUACACUGGGCACGGGGGGCCAGAGACUCAUCCACGCUGGACAUUUGGGGCCGGAGACUCCUCCACACUGGACAUGAGGGACCAGAGACUCUUCCAGACUGGACAUUGGGGAUCACAGCCUCUUGGUUGCCCCAGCGUCCGCUGGCUGAGUUCCCCACACCUCCCCACACCUCCCCCAAGCUCCCUACCUCUCAAGAGGAGGCUGAUUACUCACAAAGACAAGCCAGGCACAGAAAUAGCCAACCUAUUUGUGGCUUGAAUGCAAGCAGUUUUAUUUUUACGGAGAGUCGCUGUAUUUUCUCUAAGUAGAAAUCAUUAUCUACCAUAAAUGAA